rnacentral:rRNA from 1 species
GAUGAACGCUGGCGGCGUGCUUAACACAUGCAAGUCGAACGGAAAGGCCCAAGCUUGCUUGGGUACUCGAGUGGCGAACGGGUGAGUAACACGUGGGUGAUCUGCCCUGCACUUCGGGAUAAGCCUGGGAAACUGGGUCUAAUACCGGAUAGGACCACAUUUUGGAUGGUGUGGUGGAAAGUUUUUCGGUGUGGGAUGAGCUCGCGGCCUAUCAGCUUGUUGGUGGGGUAAUGGCCUACCAAGGCGUCGACGGGUAGCCGGCCUGAGAGGGUGUACGGCCACAUUGGGACUGAGAUACGGCCCAGACUCCUACGGGAGGCAGCAGUGAGGAAUAUUGCACAAUGGGCGCAAGCCUGAUGCAGCGACGCCGCGUGGGGGAUGACGGCCUUCGGGUUGUAAACUCCUUUCGCUAGGGACGAAGCGUUUUUGUGACGGUACCUGGAGAAGAAGCACCGGCUAACUACGUG